UGUGGAGGGGUCAAUGUCACUUACUCCCUCUCCAAAUGCCAUUGACAGGGUGGAAAGAGAGAGAAUGCUCACCCACCAGACUAAGAAUCUUAGAAUCCCACGCCAGUAGAGGUGUCUGAAGAUGGAUACAGGACAUGCUGGCAGGACAAAUCCACCUGAAACAAGUUGGGAGACGAGUCCCCGGAUAGCACCCUCUUGAAAUCUUGGUGGAGGGACAAAACAUUGCCACAAUGAGUGCCCAUUUCCAGAGGAUUGAAGACUAAUCAGCCGGAAAGCCAGGCAGCCUGUAGCCAGAGCUCUGCCCGCUGGGGGGCACGUGAGCGUCUCUAAAUUUCCUCCUUUCCUUGGUGGCACCACGCUCUAGGAAAGCAGACUGUGUGUGCUCUAGCAAUCACAGGCAAAAUUGGAAGUACAGCGGCGCAGUGUCCCUCGCCCUGGGAGCUACUCAGGAGAGAAGCUGUGUGCUCCAAUUCUGCCCAAACAGGCAGCGCCCGAGCAGGCCAGUCCAGGCCUCUCCUUCCAGCUCUCCCUCCAGCCCAGCUUUUUGGAGAGAAAGCAAACAGACCCUUCACCAGAUGGAGCCUUCCUCGCUAACAAACCUAGCCUAAGACUGAGACGUGUUCAAGAAGAAACAGAAUAUUACCUUUCAGGAAGCCAACAUGAGGUCUCAGAGCCGCCCCCAGCCCGCAGUGCUAUAGGCAGCUCAUGCCUGGAAGUGCCAGCACACAGUCCCCUGGCUGUGCGAGGAGACACCACGCAGGGACAACAGAGGCAAGGAGGAAGGCAAGCGGGAGAGGAAGGGGUGGGGAGAGGAGCGGGAGGGCGGGAAGGAGGGAGAAUUGAUUCUCUCUCCUCCACUGGGACCACUGAGCUAAGUUGCCAUGGAGAAAGGGGAGCCGCUGGCAGAGCUUGAGGCGGGCGGAGGAGCCAUAUGCCAGGGGAAGGCGUCAGCAGAGCCAAUCCCACAGUUCUGCUGUGGCAACCUCCCCAAACAGGCCUCGGCCUGCACACCAAGGCAGGGUGGGGCAUGGCUGGACGGUGGGCGACAACAGCCCUCCACAGCAGCCACCCUGAGGAGAAGCAAAGCCCAGGAAGCUUCCCCUAACUCGGGCUACUCGUCCGCCCUACAGCAGGGACCCUGGACCUGCCUCUUCACGCCUCCAACCUCACAGCUACCCAAGGUCAAAGUCCCAGAACAGACAGGCGGUCCCCUCCCCAGGCUUUUUAGAAGCAUUGCCUUUCUAUCCUUGCCUCCUGUUUCUAAAACUCCGCCACCAAACCCUGAGUCAUACUUUCCCACCCUCAGGAAGGGGGGGAUGCCCACCCACAGAAAGGCUUCUGUGGCCCAGAGCCACCCAGGCAGGAAGCCAAGACGGGAGGCUGCUGGGCACCUGCUGGUUAAAGAAGAGACAUAUCAUGGACACUCUGGACCAGACCCACGUUGGGCUAUAUCUCCCACCUGCACACAACCGACCUUGCUGAAACUGCUGUGCAAACCCCACUACAGGGCUAGCUCUGCCCACCCCCCCACCCCCAGCCUCACACAGCCUCUGACUGCAGAGAUGGCUGGGGAGGACUGGCCAGGCUGGGAGAUCACAGGGCCAUUGCCAGUCUGGUCACAUCUCCGUGUUCUCACUCCCUCGGUACGAACUGAGACAGGACCAUUUUCUCUACCAAGCUGUGCUCUGGGGCAUCGUGAUGCUGGCAGGCGUAGGGAAGGCUGAGGCUGUGGACGCUGUGUCCUUCCAGAUCCAGUUGGAAGCACUGGGGCAGCAUCCAAUGCCCUGCCUCCCCUUGUGCACUUGGCUGGCAAGACUGGAGCCAGCAGCAGUGCCCCCAGCUCUGUUGCUCUUGAGGGAACAUCUGAGGGAACCAUGCCCCACCUUGCCUCUCAAGUCUGCAGUCAAGAAAACAUUUCCUCUUCCUAGCCCCACUCCAACAAUUUGUUAUGAAAAUAUCCCAGUAUAUGAAUAAAUAAGAAAAAGGUUAUAAGGAACACAUAGAUUUACUAUCUAGAUUUCUGUUUCUUCUCACUUUUCUAUUAUUAAAAAAAUAGAACAACAAAUAUAGCAUUUUCAUCAAUUGAGAGCAAUUCACCAAUUUAGCAGCGUGAAGUCUAUCCACAGUGAGGUCCACCCGCCACCUGUAUCUAGUGGCAAACAUCUGCACUACUCUGAAAGGAGGCCAGGGAGACCUGUCUCACUACUGCGUCUCGCUAGCCUGACCGCCACCAGUCUACUGCCCGCAGACGGGCUUGCUUCAGGUAUUUCAUAGAAAUGGAAUUACAGAGUGCAAGCAACAUUUUGGAACUGGCUUCUUUCACGUAUCAUGCUCUUUCUCAAAGUUCAUACACGGUUGUAACCUAUGUAGGCUGCUUCCUUCCUUCAUGGUGGAAUAAUAUCCUAUUGACCAGGCAGACCCCUUGUGCAUAUGUACUCAGCACAGGAUGGACAUGUGGGCUACUUCUACCCUUGGGCUCUCCUCUCAUUCCUCUCCCCAAGACCUGAGGAAGCAUUCUGGGCAUUUAGUCUCCAAACUGCAAGUCCCAGAGACCCCAAACUAAAUGUUUACUCACUUGUCUUUCCAAUAAGCAGGGCUCACUGGUGCCUGACAUGGGACAAAGGCAAAAGGCCCCAAGUGGCCUCAGUCUCCACUGUCCCAAGGGAGCCACCAGCUGGGCAGGAGGAAUUACAGGUACCCCCACCCCCCACCCCGUACCUUCUUUGACAGAUGAAGCUGAGUUCCGGUGCCACUGGCAUUCCUGGCUGUACAACUGAGUCUCACUCUAUAGCCCCGGCUGGCCUAGAACUCGUGUCUCUGCUUCCUGAGUACCGGGAUUAAUGUCUUGUACCACCAUGCCAGGGUCCCAGCUGUAAUGUAAAGGGGUCUAGGAGCCUCACGGUGUGGCAGAGAAGAGAGUGGGAGGCCAGGAAGUGCCUGGAACACACAUUUCAUCUGAGGAGCAAAGCCUUCGGAAGCCAGGGCAGGAGCCUGGGUAGGCUGAGGGCUAGACCGUCGUCAGCCCUGCUCUGCAGCGGGGCUACAGCCUUGGCAGCACUGCGCCUCUCACCUUUCCACAGCCUGCCUAGCUAUUUAUAGCCAUCCUCUCUGAGAACUACUUUACCCAUUUUGGUUUUAUUUUUUCUGGCUAGAUGGACUUGGUAAAUUGAAGUCAGGAGAACCCCACCUUUGUAUCCAGGAGGCUUCACGGUAUGGCUAUACUUGGCUGGGCCUGCCUGCACCCCUUGCCUUGUGAUGGGCCUCAGGGCCUGUGACAUCCUCUGCCAGGUGUGCGGUGCCUCCAGGGAGAAGGCAUUCACACAGUAACCCAGGUUGACCUCAACUUGCGGGGCUGGAAGAUGGGUCACCCCAAAGUUACUCUCUGCUCUAGGAAAGACAUAUUGUGGCAGCGGAAGGACAGCUGUACCUUUAAAUGCUCAGGCCCACAGAUAUGAAAAACAUUUGCACUCUCUGGCUGUUUGCAUCUUUGGUUAUUUUUAGGGUGAACCCAGUUGCCUCCCCUUGGAACCGGAUGAAGCCCCAGAGAAGGCACGUAGUCCGUUUUCCCAGAUGGGGGUCCUGCUCCUGUUUCCCUGGGAAUGAAGCUUUGGACAUGGACUAUCCAGGGGAACUGCCCCCCAGUGGUACACACUGAACUCCUCUCAGGCUUGCUCGAGGGACCUGUGCACAGAAGCAGCUUCGCUCCGACUGUGAGGAUCUGCUGCUGACAUCAGGGUUACCCACCUGCACCCUGAGAGCCCCGUGCCACCCCCGGGGGUCUGAAGAAAAGAAAACGUGAUGCAAUCCCCCACAGAACCCAGCAGUCCCAGCCGACGGGAAUGUCUGGCUGGCGUGUUUCUAGAACAAGCAGCAAUUAGAGGCGAUCUUCUCUCCCGCCCCCCUCCCCAAAACAGAAAUAAAUCACUGCUACCAUUCUCCCAGCUAAUGAUUUCCUCCAUUAAAUUAAAAAGAAGAAGCAAAUGUUUUUUUAAAAUGGAUUACCAGCCCUGUGCUUUCAGAGAUCACAUGACCUGUCAGCUCCUCUCAAGUCCGGAUGCAUCAAAGUCCCUCA